GGACCCGCACAAGCGGUGGAGCAUGUGGUUUAAUUCGAAGCAACGCGAAGAACCUUACCUGCUCUUGACAUCCCCCUGACCGGCGCGUAAUGGUGCCUUUCCUUCGGGACAGGGGAGACAGGUGGUGCAUGGUUGUCGUCAGCUCGUGUCGUGAGAUGUUGGGUUAAGUCCCGCAACGAGCGCAACCCUUAUCUUUAGUAGCCAGCGGUUUGGCCGGGCACUCUAGAGAGACUGCCAGGGAUAACCUGGAGGAAGGUGGGGAUGACGUCAAAUCAUCAUGCCCCUUAUGAGCAGGGCUACACACGUGCUACAAUGGCGUAAACAAAGGGAGGCGAAGCCGCGAGGUGGAGCAAAUCCCAAAAAUAACGUCUCAGUUCGGAUUGUAGUCUGCAACUCGACUACAUGAAGCUGGAAUCGCUAGUAAUCGCGAAUCAGAAUGUCGCGGUGAAUACGUUCCCGGGUCUU
rnacentral:rRNA from 1 species